UCUUAGGACCUAAAUACCCUAAAAGUACCAACUCGCAUCUGAUUUUGGAAGCUACGCAGAGUCAGCCAUAGUUAGUACUCGGAUGGAGCUGCAGGCUGUAUCUCUGCUGUCGUAAACU
rnacentral:rRNA from 11 species